rnacentral:lncRNA from 1 species
UUCCUGACUCAGUCAAUGGUAUGAAGGAGUGUGAUUCUGUGGUUCACAGCAAGGAGAAGCUGUGGCAGUGUGGUAAUUUGCAUUAAUGGAGUUAUUUACUCAUUCUGUAUCUGUGCCAUUUGCCAUGGGACUUUGCAUUCCUCCUGCUGAAGAGGCAGAAUAUAUUUUCUCAUUAUUUGAUUAAAUUUUGUGCUUGGUCACGUGACUUAUUUUGGCCAAAAGAAUGACACAUGCCAGAGUCUCAGUGAAGAGGACUUGUGUGUUUCUUCUUAUCUUUGUGCAUUUCUGCCAUUGCCAAAGGAAAAACAGGCCUGUACCAGCUUUCUGGGCCAGAAAAGAAUGAGAGACGUAUAGGGUAUACAUAAGUGUUUCAGCUGGAUCACCCCUAUGGGCCCACCCUAGAUCAGCUAACCUCUAGUGAACCAACUGAUGUAUGGGCUCAAUAAAUACCACUGAGAUUUAGGGGUCCUUUGUCACAUAGCAAGAGUUAACUGACAUAGGCAGAUUUGCUCAAAAUGAGUCUGUAGAUUUGUUAGCUUUAACCAGAAUGGGGAUGUGGCCAUAACAAGCCCUCAAGCUGCCAGACUUCACUCCAGCAAACAGGUGACUUCCUUAAAGCCCAAGACAGACUGUAAACAACCCACAAGACUCAUCAAACCAAAACCUCUGAUGAAGAUGGUAUCUUCUUACAGUCAAGAAAACUUUGCUUUUGACUUAUUUACAGCUAGUCACAAUUGAGUGAAGUAUACUCCUGUAAACAAAUUUGGAUUUCUCUCUCUCAAUCUGAUUUCUCCAGAAUGUGGAAACUAUUUAAACAGACUGCAGAUUGAAUUCCUACAUAGGCUAUUCCAGAAUUCUUACGAGACUUGCAUUAGGACAUCAGCAACAGGUAUCAUCUAGUGAACUGUUCAGAUGCAACUGAAUUGAAAAGGAGCUGAACAAAAGAUCCUGAGAGAGACUUCAACAAAAAGUAAAAUGGAUUUUAUCAUACUUGAAAAAUCAACAAUUGCAGUCUGGAUUCAUACAUCACUGUCUGAUGCACCCAACUUGAGUCAAAAAGAUGUUUCAAAUCCCACUAGGCUGGAGGCAAAAAUACUCAAGAGUUUAAGAGCGUCUCUUGACAGUGUACAGAAUAAGAUAGCUUCUCAGCUUUCAGCUUUACUUCACGGUUUUAACUAUCAAAAGAAGCAAGCCAUCUGAAGAUUUGCCUGAGACUGAAGGAUCCACUUCUGCGACGACUCCCUCAGGACUUAUAAUGCAGAUGGAACCAGAUUGAGAAAAACCAGCCAACCAACCAACCAACAUGAUGGCUGAACCAGACAAGAGAAGUCCCGAAGUAAAAUACCCACCAAUUACCAGAAUCUGUGCCUGCCAUACAUCGAAGAAAAUUCAACAGCAAUACAAAUUAACCUUUGGAAAAUCUUUCCUGGGUUUUAUGUUUGUGUGAAAUGCCCCUUUACUAAACUGGAAGAUGUGUAAGAUGGAAGAAGAGGUUCUGCUGGAUAUGGAGAAAUUGGAACCCUUGUACAUGUGGAAAUGUAAAAUGGUGCAUUAGGAAAACAGUUUCAACGGUCCUCAAAGUGGUAAACAUAGAGUUACCAUAUGACUGAGAAAUUUUACUCCCAGGUAUAUACCCAAGAUAAAUAAAAACAUGUUCAUAUAAAACUCAUAUAUAUAUGUCCAUGGCAGCUUUAUUUAUAGUUGCCAAAAUGUCUCUUGUGACUGGCUUCUUUCACUCAACAUGAUGUGUUCAAGGUCCAUUAGUAUUGGAACUUAACUCGUCUUUAUUGUUAAACGAUAUUCCACUGUAUGGACAUAUCCUCAUUUUAUUUACCCAUUCAUCAGUUGAUGGACAUUUGGGGUUUUUCCAUGUUUUGGCAGUGUGUGCAUUGUGUGUGUUGUGUGAGGGAAAGGGAUAGAAUGAAAGUGAUAUUAAGAUUAAGUGACAUAAUGUAUGUAAUAUUUCUAGCAGAGUUCCUGGGACAUGGCAGAUAUGUUAUUAUUUUAUUACUAUUGUUAUAAUUUCCUUUAUCUAGGAGAGCACAGCUUCAUUGCCAGAUGUAACUUUUAUUUAGACUAAGGAAUCAGUUAAGAUAACCAUAAGAUACUCUUGGUCUUGAACUCUGCCAUGCCUAAACAAAAAUUAUCUUCUUUGCCUUGGAAAAUUAUUACUUUAGUGAAAUAAAUUGUUUUCUUUCUAAAUUUGCAAAGUAUUAUUUUUUACACUAUAAU